UCCUCGUCUUACUCUCAUUGUCUCCCUCCUCCUCCUCCUCCUCCUCUUCUUCCGUCUCCUAUUUCCCUUUAUGCAAAUUUUCCUUCCCUUCUCAUAAUUUCACUUGUUUUUCUUCCUCUUUCUCUACUUGUUUUUGUUAUUUUGUCUACUUCUCACACACAGAUUUCUCUCUCUCUCUCUCUCUCUCUCUCUCUCUCUCUCUCUCUCUCUCUCUCUCUCUCAAUCUGUGUGUGUGUGUGUGUGUGUGUGUGUGUGUGUGUAGGGAAAGGGCACCUGACAACACCACAGAGAAACGGAGGAAAGGAAAUAGGAAGGGAGGGAAAGUGAGGUAGAGACGCAGGGAGGGACAAACAGACGGAGGAGGAGGAAGGGAUGGAGGAAGGGGGUGAGUGGGAGGCAGGAAAGGGAAGGGGGAGAGGGAGAAGGAAGGGGACGCCCAGACUAACAAAUAAACAGUUCCUUUUAGUCUCCCGUAAACUCCUGUCGCCGCGAAGUCGUCUCUCAGGACCUUCCAAAUAUAGCAGCCAAGCACAGGUCCUGAAGCCACGGACGAGGAGGAAUUCACAAAGGAACCCGAAGUGAUGAUGAGGUUGAGAUGGACAAAAAUUGGAUGAAAAAUGUAAAAGCUUGAAAUGAAUAAAAACUGAUGGAAAAUGACGCUAAGGUUGAGAUAGAAUGAAACUGAUGGAAAAUGACGCUAAGGUUGAGAUAGAAUGAAACUGAUGGAAAAUGACGCUAUGGUUGUGAUAGAAUGAAACUGAUGGAAAAUGACGCUAAGGUUGAGAUAGAAUGAAACUGAUGGAAAAUGACGCUAAGGUUGAGAUAGAAUGAAACUGAUGGAAAAUGACGCUAUGGUUGAGAUAGAAUGAAACUGAUGGAAAAUGACGCUAAGGUUGAGAUAGAAUGAAACUGAUGGAAAAUGACGCGAAGGUUGAGAUAGAAUGAAACUGAUGGAAAAUGACGCUAAGGUUGAGAUAGAAUGAAACUGAUGGAAAAUGACGCGAAGGUUGAGAUAGAAUGAAACUGAUGGAAAAUGACGCUAAGGUUGAGAUAGAAUGAAACUGAUGGAAAAUGACGCUAAAGUUGAGAUAGAAUGAAACUGAUGGAAAAUGACGCUAUGGUUGAGAUAGAAUGAAACUGAUAGAAAAUGACGCUAUGGUUGAGAUAGAAUGAAACUGAUGGAAAAUGACGCUAAGGUUGAGAUAGAAUGAAACUGAUGGAAAAUGACGCUAUGGUUGUGAUAGAAUGAAACUGAUGGAAAAUGACGCUAUGGUUGAGAUAGAAUGAAACUGAUGGAAAAUGACGCUAUGGUUGUGAUAGAAUGAAACUGAUGGAAAAUGACGCUAUGGUUGAGAUAGAAUGAAACUGAUGGAAAAUGACGCUAAGGUUGAGAUAGAAUGAAACUGAUA